UACGGAGGGGGCGAGCGUUGUUCGGAAUUACUGGGCGUAAAGCGCGCGUAGGCGGUCAUGUAAGUCAGAUGUGAAAUCCCUCGGCUCAACUGAGGAACUGCGUCUGAUACUGCAUGGCUUGAGUCCGGUAGGGGAUGGCAGAAUUCCCGGUGUAGCGGUGGAAUGCGUAGAUAUCGGGAGGAAUACCGAUGGCGAAGGCGGCCAUCUGGGCCGGCACUGACGCUGAUGCGCGAGAGCUAGGGGAGCAAACAGG
rnacentral:rRNA from 1 species